rnacentral:rRNA from 1 species
CCUACGGGCGGCAGCAGUAGGGAAUAUUGCUCAAUGGGGGAAAGCCUGAAGCAGCAACGCCGCGUGGAGGAUGAAGGUUUUCGGAUUGUAAAAUCCUUUUGUUAGAGAAGAUAAUGACGGUAUGUAACGAAUAAGCACCGGCUAACUCCGUGCCAGCAGCCGCGGUAAUACGGAGGGUGCAAGCGUUACUCGGAAUCACUGGGCGUAAAGAGCGCGUAGGCGGGUUAGCAAGUCAGAUGUGAAAUCCUACGGCUUAACCUUAGAAAUGCAUUUGAAACUGGUAGUCUAGAGUAUGGGAGAGGUAGGUGGAAUUCUAGGUGUAGGGGUAAAAUCCGUAGAGAUCAAGAGGAAUACUCAUUGCGAAGGCGACCUGCUAGAACGUAACUGACGCUGAUGCGCGAAAGCGUGGGGAGCAAACAGGAUUAGAUACCCGUGUAGUC